rnacentral:rRNA from 1 species
UACGAAGGGUGCGAGCGUUAAUCGGAAUUACUGGGCGUAAAGCGCGCGUAGGUGGUUCGUUAAGUUAGGAGUGAAAGCCCCGGGCUCAACCUGGGAAUUGCUUCUAAAACUGGCGAGCUAGAGUAUGGUAGAGGGUGGUGGAAUUUCCUGUGUAGCGGUGAAAUGCGUAGAUAUAGGAAGGAACAUCAGUGGCGAAGGCGACCACCUGGACUAAUACUGACACUGAGGUGCGAAAGCGUGGGGAGCAAACAGG